rnacentral:rRNA from 1 species
GAUGAACGCUGGCGGCGUGCCUAAUACAUGCAAGUCGAGCGAACAGACGAGGAGCUUGCUCCUUUGACGUUAGCGGCGGACGGGUGAGUAACACGUGGGUAACCUACCUAUAAGACUGGGAUAACUUCGGGAAACUGGAGCUAAUACCGGAUAAUAUUUCGAACCGCAUGGUUCGAUAGUGAAAGAUGGCUUUGCUAUCACUUAUAGAUGGACCUGCGCCGUAUUAGCUAGUUGGUAAGGUAACGGCUUACCAAGGCAACGAUACGUAGCCGACCUGAGAGGGUGAUCGGCCACACUGGAACUGAGACACGGUCCGGACUCCUACGGGAGGCAGCAGUAGGGAAUCUUCCGCAAUGGGCGAAAGCCUGACGGAGCAACGCCGCGUGAGUGAUGAAGGUCUUCGGAUCGUAAAACUCUGUUAUUAGGGAAGAACAAACGUGUAAGUAACUGUGCACGUCUUGACGGUACCUAAUCAGAAAGCCACGGCUAACUACGUGCCAGCAGCCGCGGUAAUACGUAGGUGGCAAGCGUUAUCCGGAAUUAUUGGGCGUAAAGCGCGCGUAGGCGGUUUUUUAAGUCUGAUGUGAAAGCCCACGGCUCAACCGUGGAGGGUCAUUGGAAACUGGAAAACUUGAGUGCAGAAGAGGAAAGUGGAAUUCCAUGUGUAGCGGUGAAAUGCGCAGAGAUAUGGAGGAACACCAGUGGCGAAGGCGACUUUCUGGUCUGUAACUGACGCUGAUGUGCGAAAGCGUGGGGAUCAAACAGGAUUAGAUACCCUGGUAGUCCACGCCGUAAACGAUGAGUGCUAAGUGUUAGGGGGUUUCCGCCCCUUAGUGCUGCAGCUAACGCAUUAAGCACUCCGCCUGGGGAGUACGACCGCAAGGUUGAAACUCAAAGGAAUUGACGGGGACCCGCACAAGCGGUGGAGCAUGUGGUUUAAUUCGAAGCAACGCGAAGAACCUUACCAAAUCUUGACAUCCCUUGACCCUUCUAGAGAUAGAAGUUUCCCCUUCGGGGGACAAAGUGACAGGUGGUGCAUGGUUGUCGUCAGCUCGUGUCGUGAGAUGUUGGGUUAAGUCCCGCAACGAGCGCAACCCUUAAGCUUAGUUGCCAUCAUUAAGUUGGGCACUCUAAGUUGACUGCCGGUGACAAACCGGAGGAAGGUGGGGAUGACGUCAAAUCAUCAUGCCCCUUAUGAUUUGGGCUACACACGUGCUACAAUGGACAAUACAAAGGGCAGCGAAACCGCGAGGUCAAGCAAAUCCCAUAAAGUUGUUCUCAGUUCGGAUUGUAGUCUGCAACUCGACUACAUGAAGCUGGAAUCGCUAGUAAUCGUAGAUCAGCAUGCUACGGUGAAUACGUUCCCGGGUCU